CAGCAGCCGCGGGAAUACGAAGGGGGCUAGCGUUGUUCGGAAUUACUGGGCGUAAAGCGCACGUAGGCGGAUCGAUCAGUCAGGGGUGAAAUCCCAGGGCUCAACCCUGGAACUGCCUUUGAUACUGUCGAUCUGGAGUAUGGAAGAGGUGAGUGGAAUUCCGAGUGUAGGGGUGAAAUUCGUAGAUAUUCGGAGGAACACCAGUGGCGAAGGCGGCUCACUGGUCCAUUACUGACGCUGAGGUGCGAAAGCGUGGGGAGCAAACAGGAUUAGAUACCCCGGUAGUCCCUGUCUCUUAUAC
rnacentral:rRNA from 1 species